UUUUUUUUUGUUUAGUGCCCCAGUGGAACUGAGUUGAAAGGACGAAAAGAUUAUACUGAUCAGCAAACAGAAGGGACUAACUUUGUUGGCUUUACUUGUUGUCCUAUUGGUUAUCCAGACCUUCAUUAUGCAAAUGAAAACUAUUUUUGUUGUCCAGCUGGAACUGGAGCUUAUUGUAUGUCCAACGCUUGCAACUGUAAAUCUACCGCGUUAAAAGGUGGAAAACUACCAACGAUUACAAAAAUUGCAAGUUAGGUAGAUGAGAAAAAACUGGAAAUGAAGAUCUUUGACAUAACAUUCUGAAAUUUAAAAUAAAAAUGAUUUGUUUAAUAAAAUAAAAAAACGCAA
rnacentral:lncRNA from 1 species